UGCGCGGAAGAUGUAACGGGGCUAAACCAUGCACCGAAGCUGCGGCAGCGACGCUGAUGCGUUGUUGGGUAGGGGAGCGUUCUGUAAGCCUGCGAAGGUGUGCUGUGAGGCAUGCUGGAGGUAUCAGAAGUGCGAAUGCUGACAUAAGUAACGAUAAAGCGGGUGAAAAGCCCGCUCGCCGGAAGACCAAGGGUUCCUGUCCAACGUUAAUCGGGGCAGGGUGAGUCGACCCCUAAGGCGAGGCCGAAAGGCGUAGUCGAUGGGAAACAGGUUAAUAUUCCUGUACUUGGUGUUACUGCGAAGGGGGGACGGAGAAGGCUAUGUUGGCCGGGCGACGGUUGUCCCGGUUUAAGCGUGUAGGCUGGUUUUCCAGGCAAAUCCGGAAAAUCAAGGCUGAGGCGUGAUGACGAGGCACUACGGUGCUGAAGCAACAAAUGCCCUGCUUCCAGGAAAAGCCUCUAAGCAUCAGGUAACAUCAAAUCGUACCCCAAACCGACACAGGUGGUCAGGUAGAGAAUACCAAGGCGCUUGAGAGAACUCGGGUGAAGGAACUAGGCAAAAUGGUGCCGUAACUUCGGGAGAAGGCACGCUGAUAUGUAGGUGAAGUCCCUCGCGGAUGGAGCUGAAAUCAGUCGAAGAUACCAGCUGGCUGCAACUGUUUAUUAAAAACACAGCACUGUGCAAACACGAAAGUGGACGUAUACGGUGUGACGCCUGCCCGGUGC
rnacentral:rRNA from 1 species